rnacentral:lncRNA from 10 species
GGGGAAGAGGAGGUGCAAGGCGAGCCCUCUGCGCAAUUAGGCUACGGGCGGCCGCUGGCAGAAGUUCUGGCGGCGGCGCUCGCGGCCCUGCGCGCCGGAGGGGGCGCCCGGAGUCCAGCGGGCCAAGAAGGGCAGGGCGCCCGCUCCUCGCCCCCCGCCGCGCCGCGGCCCCAGGGGACCGCAAGGGGACAGUGAGGGGCCGGGCCUGGCACCGACGCAAGCUCGGGGAGCGCGGGUGGUGGGAGGCGGCGCGUGUUGAACAGGAAGUGCGCGGCGUGCAGCGCCACCGUCCCGCUCCCCGUCGCCCCACGCCGCCCUCGUCGCCGCGCCCAGACCCCUGCGGCGGCCGCAGCCGCUUGGGACUCGCUGCGAGCUGGUUUCGGAUCCAUCCCGCCUCCCGGCGUCUCACUGUGUGCCCUACCCUUUGAAACACGCCCCCGCGCCCGCCCUGCCGUAGACCAGGCAGCGAGGAAGCCCACAGUCUCCGGGGGCGCUGCGCGCGAAGUAGCACGUGCUUCUCGAAACACCGCAGCCCCCGGGUCCCGCCCCGCCCGGCGCGCGCACUCGAACCCGCCCAGAGAGCGAAUGAAGCCAGCCUGGAAGAUCCCCAGUCUCGAGACAGAGCCUGACAGGGGCAGAUGCACUGGAAGGACCCUGUCUGGGUUUAGCAACCAAGCAGCCAUCCUGGCCCCACAGGUGUGGGACUUCUGGGUCUUCUCCUGGCUGGCUUCUUGCUAGAGGAUUUCAAGAGACCCAGCAAGACUGUAUUGUCCCACUGAAUGCUCAAGAUAUUGGUUAGAAGUAGAAAAGGGGAGGGGGUAGUAUUUAGCCUCUGUCCCCACUAAAAAUUAUUCCCAAUUGUCAUUUGUGUCAUCUGUUUAGCUUACAGUUUUAAUCCUUGUCAAAAUGAUCAUUUGCCAGGGUGCAUAAAACACCCUAUUUGAUGAGAACUGGUUUUAAAGGAAAAUGGGGCCAUCAGAAGGAAGCCGGUUGGUGUGAAGAGACGUCUGGGAAGAGCCCCUGGCGAGGGCCCUCAUUCCACUGGGUGACCCAGAAGGAGAAAACCGCGAUGGCGCUUCUCAUUUGAAAUGUUUUCUUUAUGGACAGUGUUUAGCAAUUGUUAUAAUGUGUACUUUUGUUGAUUGAUCUGUAUACAUAUGUAAAAUAAUUUGUUCUCUGAG